AUCGCAACUGGCAACUCGAGCAGCGACCGCUAUAGCAGUGUUUCAUUCGCAGGCACAGCACUUGCUGGGAAGACUGGCGUAGGAAGCAUACGCUGUUGUGAGCACGAUGAAUUGCAAAUACAAAGCAAGUUGACAGCGAGGGGCGAAGGAUGAGAGAGAGAUAGAUGAAGGUGACCCGACGCCUCGCUUGGAGGUCAAGCCUGUCCUAUAUUUGUUGAUGCUGAUGCUUGCAGUUUUGCCUGUUCUUUGUGUUCGUGACAUACAGCGAAGAUUGUAAGAAUUUGUCGCUGUGUGUAAGAUAAACCAUACCAACACUGAACACUGG